UACGUAGGGUGCGAGCGUUGUCCGGAAUUACUGGGCGUAAAGAGCUCGUAGGUGGUUUGUCGCGUUGUCCGUGAAAAACUCACAACUCAAUUGUGGGCGUGCGGGCGAUACGGGCAGACUGGAGUACUGCAGGGGAGACUGGAAUUCCUGGUGUAGCGGUGAAAUGCGCAGAUAUCAGGAGGAACACCGGUGGCGAAGGCGGGUCUCUGGGCCGAUACUGACGCUGAGGAGCGAAAGCGUGGGGGAGCGAACAGG
rnacentral:rRNA from 1 species